ACAAACAGAAAUAAAUACAAACAACGUUGUGUGCCAAACGGCAGUGACUAAACGGAGAGGAACGGCGAAGAAACUCAGCCAAAAUACAAAUUGUAAAGUUUUGCCUAUAAAAUGUCAAAACGUCAAAAGAAGCUGCCAAAAAAAUCUGCGGUAAAACUUCGCCUCCGCCACUUUUUCUGCAGGCGAAAUCAAUAAGCGACAAAUUACGAGACCACAAGAGGCCGAAUAAAAAACGAGAAAAGCGCAAAUAAGAUUGUAAGCCAGCAAAAAGCAACGGAGAACGGCGAAACUGUGAACUGAGAAGUUUUGCGGGCUGUAAUGCGGCGCCUGUCCCUCGGGACCAACAAGGCAGUUCAACUUUCUGUCCAUUUUAUUUUCUUUAAUUGGAAAGAGCAUAAAAAAUGUAUGCAGGAAAGCCAAACAAUGUUUGUCGGCAAAAGCUACAUGCAAAGCAGCAAGAAGAAGAUGCGCUAGCAAGCCUGGUCCGCAGUCCAACCGGGCGGAGCGGAGGCGCAAACAAAGCAAAGUGACAGCAACAAGUUGAAUUGCCAACAAUUACCAUUUAAAUUGAGAUUUAAAGUUGAUUUGCCUGAAACAGUGGGCGGCAAAUUGUUCGGGAUGGACUACAAGAACAAAAACAAAAACAAGAAAUAUUUGUCGAGACGGAAAUGUAAGCAGAAAUGAUGAGCAAGAGAAACAAAAGUUUGCGCAAAGUUUAAAUCUCGUUGGCAGUAAAUAGGAAGACCAGCGUGUGAAAGUUGUAAAAGACUUAAAUGAAGACAAAGAUGUCAGCAUUUGGAAAGAAAUGGGUUUAUUUACAGGGAAAACGAAAUAUUUAUUGAAUAAACAGUUCCAGGAAUU